UAAUGGAUAUAAAUAUGUAGAUCACCCUUGCUAUAACAUCAAUCUAAAGAUAAGGCGCUUGAGGCAGCCACCAAUCGAGAACCAGAGACUCUGGAUCUGCCAAAACUUGUUGAUGUCUGAACAAAUGAUGGCACCCUUUGGACCAGCAAGGCUCAUAAAGUCAGCAGCAAGAUGAUGAUGUCACUGGCCACUCUCUCAAUGUCAAAGUCCUCGUCCGACUGGCUGCCUCCAGCCGACUCCUGCU